rnacentral:lncRNA from 1 species
GUGCUAGUGAAACUGCCCUCAGAGCAGAAAUAAACUGUUGGCUCUCAAGUUUUUCCAGACUAACCGGACUGGCCAAUGCCUGAGGCUCUGUGUUCAAGAUAAAAGUGCCUAAGAAAGAAAAGUGCAGGAAGCUGUGGACCGUGUUUAGCCUGUGGCUCUGUGUGCCCCUUGGCUGCUGCUGCUGCUUACUCCUGAGGGUGAAGUUGCUAACAUAAGAAACGAGUAAUUUGGAUUUGCGCUUCUUGGAGAAAGAAUUGUGCCAUGAAAAAUGGAAAACUCCUGAGAAGCUGUUCCAGCGUCAGGAGAGCAGCAGACAAGCUGGACUGGGGAAGAUUCUUCCUGCAAGACCUGCAGAGUGUAUGACACAUAACCAGCACCCAAGAAAUGUCUACCGAGGAAUUAAUGAAUGAGCCAUCUUGUGAUCAUCUGGCAAGACAGCCCAAGAAUAAAGCCGUCACCAUGGAGACUAAGAAGAGACAGAAAGACACUGGGUCUUCAUUGUCUCGUCCAGCUGUUCAUGAGGCCUUAUCUGAAGCCCACGUGACCUCCGGACUACUCACUUACAUGAGAGAAUAAAGCUCUUUUUUGUUUAGACCAAAUAAAUACAUAAUACAAUUA